rnacentral:lncRNA from 1 species
AUAUAUCUAUAUAUAUACAGUGCAUAUGCAUUAAAGACUAUCACAAAAAUGUAACAAGUAAUCUUGCAUUCCUAUAACAAGUGCAAUGAACACAAUACCAGACUAGAACACAUACAAAGCCCUAUGGACAUGCAUCUAUCACUCAAUGAAUUUACAUCUAUAAAUAUAUUAAGAUAAAAACUGUCAUGAUUAAUUAAUAGUGAUAAUUUUAUAUUCAGCAAGAAAAAAUAAACACAUAAGAAAGCUGGAAUGUGCCUCAAACAAAUUGCAGGAAUAUGAUAACCCAACUUUACUGAACAGCUUAUGAGCAAUUGUUAAUGUGUAUGGUUACUGCUUGCCUCUUAUUAUGAACCAAGCUGUAACUGAAAACAGUAGAAUCACUGAUACAUUUUACUGAGAGAAAAGUCGACUAGAAAGGUAAAGCAAAGUUUUUGAGAUAAAAUGUGUCAUCUGCUGCAGCCAUUCAUUCGAAAGUAUUACAUAUAUUCAGCAGAAGAUAUCUAAUAAAGCAACAAAUGAUGCAAUUAUUUCUGGGACUGAUCCAGGAAUUUUUAAGGGGGCAUAAUUAUAGAAAUUGGAAUAUUAAAUUCCACGAAGGGAGCAAGAAAAAUUUGAACAAAUUUUAUUCUAAAUAAUAUAUAUAUUUCAAAUCAAUGAGGGGCAUACACCUUCAAGGCUCUCCCCCCAAUGAUUUAUGUUAGUGCUACUUAGAGAUCAUUUGUGUCAGCGAUUGUAAAAACCAAGUAUAUAUACAAUCCAAAUUAAAUUUAAAAGGAAAU